GACGAACGCUGGCGGCGUGCUUAACACAUGCAAGUCGAACGGAAAGGCCCUGCUUGCAGGGUACUCGAGUGGCGAACGGGUGAGUAACACGUGGGUGAUCUGCCCUGCACUUCGGGAUAAGCUUGGGAAACUGGGUCUAAUACCGGAUAGGAGCUAUCUUUAGUGUGGUGGUUGGAAAGUUUUUUCGGUGUAGGAUGAGCUCGCGGCCUAUCAGCUUGUUGGUGGGGUAAUGGCCUACCAAGGCGGCGACGGGUAGCCGGCCUGAGAGGGUGUACGGCCACAUUGGGACUGAGAUACGGCCCAGACUCCUACGGGAGGCAGCAGUGGGGAAUAUUGCACAAUGGGCGCAAGCCUGAUGCAGCGACGCCGCGUGGGGGAUGAAGGCCUUCGGGUUGUAAACUCCUUUCGCUAGGGACGAAGCUUUGUUGUGACGGUACCUAGAUAAGAAGCACCGGCUAACUACGUG
rnacentral:rRNA from 1 species